UUAAGUUCAGCGGGUAGUCUCACCCGAUUUGAGGUCAAGGUUUAUAAAAGCGUUUGUCUCCAUUCAAAGACGAUUGGAAGCAGGAUUCCGGGCCAACGCCAAGACGUAGAAGCGUACUUAUCACGUCGAGGAUCGGCACGACAGACCCCACUAAUUCAUUUAGGAGGAGCUGGCUUCGAACGAGGCCAGCAACGUCCAAA
rnacentral:misc_RNA from 1 species